UUAACUCAAAUUUGUAUGGAGUUGGAACGUUUGCUUUCGUUUGCCGCCAGGGGCGCUGUUCCAACUGCAUACACAGUUAACUUU
rfam:Bombyx mori DNA, contig: Bm_scaf45_contig24834, strain: p50T/Dazao, build 2, whole genome shotgun sequence.